rnacentral:lncRNA from 1 species
UAAGGGAAUGGUAUAUACACUCUAAAAAACGCUGGGUUGGUUUUUUAACCCAAAUGCUGGGUUGAGACUGCUGGGUAACAAAAUUGGGUUGAUUCAACCCAAUUUGGGUUGAAAAUCGAUCUUUAUCUAUAACCCAGCAGUGCUGGGUUGGGAACGCGGACGUGAAAGAGAGCACGCACGUCACGUAAACAUGCAGGGACAUCAACGUGAGAAACCGCCAUUUUCUUUGAGCUGUCUUUGAGGGGAAGCGAGUGAAAUUCUGUGUGAGACGUAAGUUAUUUAGUGUGUAUUUAACAAUUUUCAUAAGAAAUAACACACUUAGUUUACUUAGUAUAAUAUACACGCGCUUUUUUUCUGUUUCUCCGCCUGAUGGCCGACUUGUUGCUCCGCCUCACGCUGACCUGUGCUCGCCUUAUGGCUGAACCGUUGCUCCGAGUCCGCCUGACGAGCCACCUGUUUCUCCGGAUCUGUUUCUCCGCCUAACGGCGACCUGUUUCUCCGGACCUGUUUCUCCGGACCUGUUUCUCCGCCUAACGGCGACCUGUUUCUCCGGACCUCCUGUUGAUCGGUGGACGGGUAAGCGCGCAUGGCAUCGGAAGGAGCUCGAAAAGUAUAAGAUGAUGACAGUAAGUAACGUUACUGUGAUUUGUGAUCUUUCUGGGGUGUUAACUGUAAAGCAAUGGAUAAUUGCGUGAAAAUCAAACUUAAAGAAUGCAAUCUUGAGGAGUUAAUCCCCACAUUUGAAGCACAGGAGCGAACCUUUCCUCGUUUUUAGGUCAAUUUGAAUACAAUUCAGAGGGGUGGCAUGGGGGUGCAGUGGGUAGUGCUGUCGCCUCACAGCAAGAUGGUCGCUGGUUUGAGCCUUGGAUGGGUUUCCCCUCCACAGUCCAAUGACAUGCGGUGUAGCUGAAUUGG